rnacentral:lncRNA from 1 species
GAGAAGAGAGGUCCAAACUGAAAUCUGAGGAGCCUCAACAUUCAGAACUCAACUGGGCGCUGUGGCUCAAGCCUGUAAUCCCAGCACUUUGGGAGGACGAGGCAGGCAGAACACCUGAGGUGAGAAGUUUGAGACCAGCCUGGCCAACAUGGCCAAACCUUGUCUCUACUGAAAAUAUAAAAAUUAGCCAGGCAUGGUGGCGAGCGCCUGUAAUCCCACCUACUCUGGAGGCUGAGGCAGAAGAAUCUCUUGAACCUGGAAGGCGGAGGUUGCAGUGAGCCGAGAUCACACCACUGCCCUCCAGCCUGGGCGACAGAACAAGACUCCGUGUCAGAAAAAAAAAAAGAAAAGAAAAGAAAAAGAAAAAGAAAAGAACUCGGUGGAGCACAAGUAGCUGAGUAAUGCCCCAGAAGCCGGCAUCAUUGUUGGACAGCUCAGAUGUUCAGGAUGUUUCAUUUUGAGCCUACCUCAUUGGAAUUUCAAAAUAUUGGCCUCUUUGGAGCAAUACAGAGCAAGUCUGUUCCUUCAAGUAGAUGAAAAGCUCCCUGCAUGUCUUCCAUUGGACUUCUCCCCUUUAGCUUAAAAAUAUCCACAGUCCUGAAACAUGGCUCAGAAGCAGAUAUUACCCAAACCCUACUCUUAAAGCUCGGCCAGCCAGCCACAUGCAGGACCCUGAAGCAAAUAAGAGGUGACCUGAGAAGCUACGUAUUGACACGGCGCUACCACGGGUGGAGGAGCCUGCAUUGCUGAAUCACAGGAUGAAGGCGAAUCCCUGCCAGCCUCCAUCCAUCUCUGGGGUGCUUAGCAGAAUCCUCAGCUCACAAGAUGAAUAAAUGCAGACUAAAUGAUGCACAAAUAAUCUUCACACACAACCAUCAACACAUGGAAAGACUGCAGGACGGCCAGAUCCCAAGCUAACAAACAGAAAAAGAAAAAAAAUGGCAUUAUGAUACAAACAGAAAAUGUAACAGUGGAGUGCAGAAAAUACAAAAAAAAGGAAAAAAUAAAUAGAAAAUCUUCAAAGAGGCAAUCUGUUUAAAUCUUCAAGAACUGGAAACAGUAAAAGUGAACAGGUUUUUAUUGAGCAUGUCAAUAAAAUGUUUGCAUAA